GAAGGGUGCCAUUCCCUCUAAGGACACUACUGAUAAGAUCUGGCCCACCCAGGAUCAUCUUUCUAUCUUCAAGUGAACUGAUUUGGGACAUUAUUCACAUCUACAAAAUCCCUUCACAGGAGCACCUAAGUUUCGUGUUUGAACAGCUGGAAAAAGAUGGAGACUCGUUAUCUUACUGGUCUCAAACUCCUGGGCUCAAGUGAUCCUCCUGCCUUGGCCUCCUUCCUAAAGUGCUUACAGGUAUAAGCCAUCAUGUUCAACUUGUUUUAUGAUUAGGCAAAGAUGCACAAGAAAAUAAUCUCCAUUCUGUUUUUCAGGCCAAGUGCAGUGGCUCACACCGUCACUUUGGGAGGCCAAGGGAGGUGGAUUGCUUGAGGUCAGGAGUUCAAGACCAGCCUGACUAACACGGUGAAACCCUGUCUCUACUAAAAAUACAAAAAUUAGCUGGGCAUGGUGGUUGGUGUCUGUAAUCUCAGUCACUCAAGAGGCUGAGGCAGGAGUAUCACUUGAACCCAGGAGGCGGAGGUUUUAGUGAGCCAAGAUCCUGCCACUACACUCCAACCUGGGUGAUAGAGCGAGACUCCGUCUCAAACAAACAAAAAGAAAACGAAUAAUCUCCAUUCUCUUUUUUGCUGCAUCAGCUUCCCUUCAAACACAGGCCAUUAUGGACACUGGUCUCUGUUUGGAGGUUAACUUAUAUAUUUUUUUCUUCCAGAUUCUAUGUAAAUUAUUGAUUCCUCUGGAAAAGCCUCCUCAAUUUUCCGGAUUAGUCUUUACUUUGUUUUCUAAUGAGUCCAUCUCCAUUUGACUUGACUCAAGUUUCUACCUCCACUAUGUCACUGAAACUGCGUGGUACAUUACCGAAGACCAAAGACCAAAUCCAUGACCAUUUACUCAUCUUUCAAGACUCAGAAGCCAGCUCUGGUACCAAGCCUUUUCUGAUCUCCCAGGUAAAAUCAAUAUUUCUCGUACUAACUUUUUUGUUUGUUUGUUUUUUAGAGACAGGGUCUUACUCUGUUAUCCAGGCUGGAGAGAGUAGCACAAUCAUAGUUCACUGCAGCCUUGUAUUUCUGGGCUCAAGUGAUCCUCCCACCUCAGCCUCCUAAGUAUCUAGGACUACAGGCGUGUCACUACAUCUGGCUAAUUUAAAAAUUUUUAUUUUUUAAAAAGACCAGUGUGGU
rnacentral:lncRNA from 1 species